CUGAUCAGCAUGCCGCGUGUGUGAGAGGCCUUCGGGUUGUAAAGCUCUUUUGUCCGGAAAGAAAUCCUUGGCUCUAAUACAGUCGGGGGAUGACGGUACCGGAACAAUAAGCACCGGCUAACUACGUGCCAUCAGCCGCGGUAAUACGUAAGGUGCGAGCGUUAAUCGGAAUUACUGGGCGUAAAGCGUGCGCAGGCGGUUUGCUAAGACCGAUGUGAAAUCCCCGGGCUCAACCUGGGAACUGCAUUGGAGACUGGCAGGCUAGAGUAUGGCAGAGGGGGGUAGAAUUCCACGUGUAGCAGUGAAAUGCGUAGAGAUGUGGAGGAAUACCGAUGGCGAAGGCAGCCCCCUGGGCCGAUACUGACGCUCAUGCACGAAAGCGUGGGGAGCAAACAGGAUUAAAUACCCCUGUAGUCAA
rnacentral:rRNA from 1 species